AUAUUGUUAACAAUUUACUAAGACACCAAAAACCACCUGUUUUAUUUUUAAUUUUUUACUUACAUUGACUAGACAGCAUGUUUCUCCUUUGCUUUCAUAUGCUUUCAAAGCUUAAAAUUGGGUAUUUUUAAUAUGUUACAAGUAUGGAAAGAUGAAUUUAUAUUUUGAGGAAAACCUUUCAUAAUUCUACAAACAUUGAUAUUUACAAUAGCCUUAAUGUAAAUAUAUACAAUGUAGCAUAACAUCUAAAUGUACAAAAUAGUUUUAUAUCAUUAUAUUGGUAUAGAACACUGAAAAUACAAACUAGUGAAAAAAUUCACAAAAAAAUGGCUAGUAUUGUAGGAAAUCAGCAACAAGUUCAUAAACUGCCAUACAAUAUCUUAUAUAUCACAUAACUGUGCAAGUCAACUCUAAUCUAGACUUUUAAAGGCAAAUGACUUAUCCACACAAAUCAUGCUAAAAUCUAACUACAAUUUUAAAAUUCAUAAGCAGACAUUUUUCUCUUCGUUUUGUUUUAAAGAUAGGGGCUUACUAUGUAGUCCUGUUCCUAGAACUCACUCUAUAGACCAUGCUGGCCUCAAACUCUGAGACUCAGCUUCGGAGUUCUGGGAUUAAAGGUGUGCGCCACCACACAGGGCUCAAUUUUAUGAUAAUAUAUGAAAUAGGAAUUUGAACUGUGAGAACAUUCAAUGAAUUUCUAGAAAGCUACUAGGAAUCCUCAGAGAAAACAAACCAGGCAUUUUCCCUGGGACUCGUAAGUAUACAAUAGGAACACCAAAGGGGGAAAAUAAAAGCCUCCCAGGUGCUGUGAGUUAAUUUCACCUUUAAAGUUUAGUUUCAUUUAAAACCCUUAAAGUUCCUCUAGGAUGCUUUUAUUUUCUUGUGAUUUAGUGGGGGCAAUAAGGAAAUGAGGUAGCUUAGAAGAAAUACCAGAAAGCAAAAUUACAAGAAACAAAAGCACAUAUAAAACCUUCUCAGAAAAGGUCAGGAAAUAAUCUAAGUACAGCACAUUAUUCUAACUAUAUGAAGUCAUAAAAGCAUUAUUAAAGAAUAGGAAAGUGGAGAGGCAGAUCAAAUGUCUUUGUUAAAUUUGUUAAUACUGAUUGAGUACAUGUUUAUCAAAAUGUGUGCUGUUCUUUGUGCUUCUGUAAAGGUACUCUUCCUUCAUGUCACACUGUGUGACACCAGAUGAAGUAUUUUGGGUGACUAGCUCUACUACUGGUAAGAAACCCACAUGGAUGUCUACUGAUGACUUACAAGUCUGUGGUAAAAGCAGGAGGUCAACUAGGUGGCUUCUGCUGGCACAGAACAAAACAACUCUCUUGGACAUUCUGGUUCUAUCAGCUUCCCCAUUGCACUCAAACCCAGAAAAGACAAUCUAAAAAGCAGGAUAGCUUGGGCUGGCAUGCUGAGGCUGCCAUUUUCUUUGUCCUGAGAACUGAAGAGGCCAAAUGUGCUGGCAGUCCUGCAUGUCACAGACCUCACCUACCCCUCAGCCCAGGAGGAGGAAUAUUCUGUGGAGAAGCCUGGGCCAGUACCAAACCACGGCGGGGAAAUCUAAAUGGGUCUGUUUAUCACUUUCACUUUAGGUAUAAACCUAUGAGCUGUGAGGACGGAAGAAUAAAAGGGCUUGAGAUAAAAGGGAGGUAUGGCACAAGCUGUAAAAGUAGGAACCUGAAAAAAAAAUCUGUCUAUUGACUUCUAACUGCUGUCACCCAACCUCCUCCCUCCCCAACCCCAGUCUCUGUCUCUCUCCCAAAAAUGAAUGGUGCUAAGCAAUACCCUGACUUCUGGCUAGGGUGGGAAAGAAUGAAGUUCAGAUGUACAGGCCUGUGACCAUGGGAACUGCAGUGAUACAGGACAGAGUGACAGUAAAUAUCCUAGAGAUGGUGGGAAGGGGACAGAGAAUACCAACUGCAUUUUUCCAACACUUUCUGAAUAGAGACAGGGCAAACCAUCCACUGGGCACAGUGUCUCAGACUUCCAGGGCAUUUAACAAGCAUUUGACUUAAUUUUAUUAGUAAAAAUAAUCCAAGUUUUAGAUUAAAGGAAUAUUUUAAUCCAAAAUAUGAAUGCUGUCAUUUUAUACAAACACAAUUAUUAAAUGAACAUUUAAAUUUUGUUUGGAAGGGGUCCAAGUUGGCCAAAGUGCUUGGGGCCUAAAAACCUCAUGAACUGUGAGCACAGGGUCAAACCAACUCUAGAAAUGGAGCUUCAGGCCACUAACAAGGACUGGAGAAGAAUGGUUCGAGGGUAAAUGAUGGCCAAGGAGUUUUACCUUGCUGGUCUUGUUUCACUGAUUUUGUUUUCUUGAGUAUUAUUUUUGAAGAAGACUAAAUCUAAUAAAGGAGUACUAUUAUUAAUUUAAUUUACCCAGGUCAGAACAGGAAACAAAUUUAAGAUCAUUAUUUUACAGUUAUGUCCUCCAAAAAGACAGAAGUUGGGCUGAAGGGUCUCAGGAGUCUUCGGUCCUCCACUUCUGUAAACUGUUCUUUAGGAGCCUGCCCCCUUCGUUCCACACUCAUCUGUGCUUCUUUAAAGGCCUUGGCUCCACCCUAACUAUGGUCAAGAGGCCAAGGUUGGCAAGGUCAGCACUGGGGCCAUCUGCAGCUGCCGAAGCAUGUAGACACUAUGACAAGAGAAAAGCAGCAUGGAGAACGGAUAAGAAACAACAGGAGACAAAUGCUAAAUCUGAAUGUUCUAAAUUUAUGCUGUUAAAAACUGGUAUAGAAAGCCAGGUGGUGGUAGUACAUGCCUUUAAUCCCAGUACUAGGAAGGCAGAGACAGGCAGAUCUUUGAGUUGAGUUCAAGGCCAGCCUGGUCUACAUUGUGAGUUCCUGGACAGUCAGGGCUACACAGAGAAACCCUGACUUGAAAAACCACCAAAAACAAAAGAACAAAA
ensembl:lncRNA